GACGAACGCUGGCGGCGUGCUUAACACAUGCAAGUCGAACGGAAAGGCCCUGCUUUUGUGGGGUGCUCGAGUGGCGAACGGGUGAGUAACACGUGAGUAACCUGCCCUUGACUUUGGGAUAACUUCAGGAAACUGGGGCUAAUACCGGAUAGGAGCUCCUGCUGCAUGGUGGGGGUUGGAAAGUUUCGGCGGUUGGGGAUGGACUCGCGGCUUAUCAGCUUGUUGGUGGGGUAGUGGCUUACCAAGGCUUUGACGGGUAGCCGGCCUGAGAGGGUGACCGGCCACAUUGGGACUGAGAUACGGCCCAGACUCCUACGGGAGGCAGCAGUGGGGAAUAUUGCACAAUGGGCGGAAGCCUGAUGCAGCAACGCCGCGUGCGGGAUGACGGCCUUCGGGUUGUAAAGCGCUUUCGCCUGUGACGAAGCGUGAGUGACGGUAAUGGGUAAAGAAGCACCGGCUAACUACGUG
rnacentral:rRNA from 1 species